CACAGCUGUUCCCAAUAUACUGCCUCUAAACAUACUCAUAGCCAGUAGGGUGCUGUGUACAGGACCAUGUUAUAUUCAUGAAUUAGUAAAUGUUUGAUUUGCUACUGUUCUUCUGGUGAUCAUUUAUUCUACAGCCAUUUGUGGGCUAUUGUAGCAAAAGGAAGAAUGUGUCAGAUGUGGACCUGAAUAAAAGUGAUGCAGAGAAGCAACAUUAAUUCAUAUUUUGUGGAUAUCAUAUGAAGAAGAAGCCCUGAUUUACAUUUUAUGGAUAUCACAUGGAGAAGGAUCACUUAUUCACCUAUUGUAAAUAUCAUAAGAAGAAGAAGCACUAGUUCACAUUUUGUGGAUAUAUCAAAUGGAGAAGGAACAUUGCCAUUCUGUGGAUAUAUAGAAGAGGAUCCAUUUUGAAUACAGAAAAUGAACUUUGAUUCACUCUUGUGUAUACCUUUUGUGGAAAAGGAGUACAUCAAUGAUGUCUACCAGGAGAACUUAAAAAUUCCAGUGUUGGGAACUUAUUAGAGCAAUGCGAUGAACAUUUGGCCCUCCUUGGUCCUUCACAGGUGCUCAGUGAAUAAUGAGAAUUUUACAGGAGAGACAGACCAGAUCACUGGAUAAAAGACAUUUGGUGGGACAAAUCUGUGUUCUUAUGGAGAAAGAAGAUUGAUAUUUAUUUUGCAUAAACCAUACAAAGAAAGUAAAUGAUACUAUUCUGGCCUUUCUUUGGAGGUAAGUUCCUGGUUUAGCAAGUUUAAAAUAAUUAUCUGAUUAGUAAGAAAGACAAGAAAAUAUUCAAAAUGAUUUAAGAUGUUUAUUACCUCAUUUUUUUUUUUCUUUGGAUUUUAUUACAAUGCAGUUAAGGUAGGCAAAAAAUGGGAAAAAGUACAGUAACCAAUACUCUGCAGUAGUGCAGGAAACUCUCGGAAUAAUCUUCCUUUCUAAUAUCCAAACACGUCUAAUCCUAUAAAAAAAGAGCAGAAAAAAAAGAAAUGUUUAAGAAGAGACUGCUGCAGCUGCAGUUCAUUUGUGAAUGUUUUCUGAAACCACUGAAAAAUAUUUUCAAGUAAACAAGGCUCUGAAUUCUUUAGGCAAUGGAAAAGAAUGAAAAUAAUGGUCCUACAUCAUGUUCAAAAUCAAAGGGAAGAAAACUCAUAAAGAGGAUUAAGUAUCAGUGCUGUGGUUAAAAAAAGUAAUGUUAAUCGGAAGCCACGAGGAUGGCUGUAAUACCUGUUGCAUUUUCAUGGCAUUUACUGUUAAGAAAACAAACUUUCAUCAGGAAUACAAAGAAUGAUAUAACAGCAUUGUGCAGGAGGGCCUGAAAUCAUUUUAGACAUUAAAAAACAAGUAAUGUGGAACACAAAAAGUCAUGAUUACUUUUUGAUAAGAUAUGUUGCCAGUGCAUUUAAUUGAAAAACCUGAAAACGCCUUGUGUGAGUGUUUAACCCUUUUCUGACUCACCAGCCUCCCCUACUCCUGUCCUAUUGAUUUUCACUUUCUAUUUUACUGCUUCUGAAAUAAGCUGGAGUAAAUUUGUUUCUGUUAAUAAACUAAUUAGGCUUAGUAACCUUGACAAGAUAUCGGACCCACAAGGGCACCCUUUUGUAAAAAAUUGUAAUUAUAGAAGGAAUUUGCAAUGCUGUUUGCAAUUAUAACCAUCUAUAGUAUGAACUGGUUUGUGUUUCCCCUUUAACAAGACAAAA